UACGUAGGGUGCAAGCGUUAAUCGGAAUUACUGGGCGUAAAGCGUGCGCAGGCGGUUAUGUAAGACAGUUGUGAAAUCCCCGGGCUCAACCUGGGAACUGCAUCUGUGACUGCAUAGCUAGAGUACGGUAGAGGGGGAUGGAAUUCCGCGUGUAGCAGUGAAAUGCGUAGAUAUCUGGAGGAACACCGGUGGCGAAGGCGGCAUCCUGGACCGGCAUUGACGCUGAGGAGCGAAAGCCAGGGGAGCAAACGGG
rnacentral:rRNA from 1 species